rnacentral:rRNA from 1 species
AGCAGUGGGGAAUUUUCCGCCAUGGGCGAAAGCCUGACGGAGCAAUACCGCGUGAGGGAGGAAAGCUCCUGGGGUGUAAACCUCUUUUCUCAGGGGAGGAAACAAUGACGGUAUUUGAGGAAUAAGCAUCGGCUAACUCCGUGCCAGCAGCCGCGGUAAUACAGAGGAUGCAAGCGUUAUCCGGAAUGAUUGGGCGUAAAGCGUCCGCAGGUGGCUGUGUAAGUCUGCUGUCAAAGAGCGAAGCUCAACUUCGUACAGGCAGUGGAAACUACCCAGCUAGAGUGCGGUAGGGGCAGAGGGAAUUCCUGGUGUAGCGGUGAAAUGCGUAGAGAUCAGGAAGAACACCGGCGGCGAAG